CCUAGUCAGCACAGAUUUACAUCCAGUCCUCAGCGAGAAGAGCACUGAAUUUGCCUUCCAGAUUUUAGAAUUCUAUCACGAGUAGCUGCCACAGUUAAGACACAGGAACUUUUUUCAGGUGAGAUAUUCCUGAAAGGGGAAAUAAAAAUACCCUACUGAAGAGGAGGACUUCAGGAGCCAGGACUGGAUCACGCUAGCUGAUUAUUACUAAGGAAGCCGACUUCAGCACAGUGGUUUGUCUCAUAGUGGUUCCAUAGACUUAUGUAAACAGUUAUGAGAGAGAAAAGGGGAGAGAGGAAGAAAGAGAAAGAAACAUCAAUGCAAGAGAGAAGCACUGAUCGGUUGCCUCGCAUAGGUGCCUGGACCAGGGAACUAACCCAUAACCUAGUUUGGACUGUGGACAUGAUGGCUAGAGGCUUGGCAGUCCUGCGGUAGAAUGCCACCUGCUGAGUAUGGCGAAGAAACAAGAAAGAAGUGUGGUCCUUGAUGCCGUGAAGCAACAACCAGUCCUAGAAAUAGACUUCUAUCUUGUCCAUCACCGUUAUUUUUUUCUGUUACUCAUAAUCAAAUAAUCUUACCUAUGUAUCAUUAGAGGCAACUUUUUAGUAGUAUAAAUGAAUGCAAUACAAUGAAAGAUCCUGUUUCAUUUCUCAUCAAGGUUUAUUUUGAUCAAACACUGAAUUCCAGACUUCAAAUCUGGGCUCAGAUAGUGCUACAGCUUGCACAUUACAACACUCCAUGGGGUCUAUGGGAACGGCACUGCUAGGGUUGUACAGGACUGAGUGUAAUGAUCCCUGGUUAACAUGAAUAGAACUUCAACUCUCCAUAAUGAUAUAAA